UACGAAGGGGGCUAGCGUUGCUCGGAAUCACUGGGCGUAAAGCGCACGUAGGCGGCUUUUUAAGUCAGGGGUGAAAUCCUGGAGCUCAACUCCAGAACUGCCUUUGAUACUGAAGAGCUUGAGUCCGGGAGAGGUGAGUGGAACUGCGAGUGUAGAGGUGAAAUUCGUAGAUAUUCGCAAGAACACCAGUGGCGAAGGCGGCUCACUGGCCCGGUACUGACGCUGAGGUGCGAAAGCGUGGGGAGCAAACA
rnacentral:rRNA from 1 species